UGGGGAAUAUUGCACAAUGGGCACAAGCCUGAUGCAGCAACGCCGCGUGAGGGACGACGGCCUUCGGGUUGUAAACCUCUUUUGGCAGGGAAGAAGCGAAAGUGACGGUACCUGCAGAAAAAGCACCGGCUAACUACGUGCCAGCAGCCGCGGUGAUACGUAGGGUGCAAGCGUUGUCCGGAAUUAUUGGGCGUAAAGAGCUCGUAGGCGGUUUGUCGCGUCUGCUGUGAAAACCCGAGGCUCAACCUCGGGCCUGCAGUGGGUACGGGCAAACUAGAGUGCGGUAGGGGAGAUUGGAAUUCCUGGUGUAGCGGUGGAAUGCGCAGAUAUCAGGAGGAACACCGAUGGCGAAGGCAGAUCUCUGGGCCGUAACUGACGCUGAGGAGCGAAAGCAUGGGGAGCGAACA
rnacentral:rRNA from 1 species